CAGUAGCCACGGUAACACGGAGGGAGCUAGCGUUGUUCGGAAUUUCUGGGCGUAAAGCGCACGUAGGCGGUUAUUCAAGUCAGAGGUGAAAGCCCGGGGCUCAACCCCGGAACUGCCUUUGAAACUAGAUGACUAGAAUCUUGGAGAGGUCAGUGGAAUUCCGAGUGUAGAGGUGAAAUUCGUAGAUGUUCGGAAGAACACCAGUGGCGAAGGCGACUGACUGGACAAGUAUUGACGCUGAGGUGCGAAAGCGUGGGGAGCAAACAGGAUUAGAUACCCGCGUAGUCCCUGUCUCUUAUAC
rnacentral:rRNA from 1 species